ensembl:lncRNA
GAACGCAGCACCAGGACCAGCCUGCCUCACAUUGUUAACGUUGAUUUCUCCCGUUCAAAGCAGCAUUUUGUCUUCCGUGAGCCGAACCUGGGUCACAGCCUCCCACUAACCGCAUGAAAUCUCGGCUUCGUCAGGCAGCGGGACACGGACACCGGCACACGCCCGAGCAUGAGGAGGAUCGGUGGCCGUUACCCUGCCCAGACCGGAGGCUGCUGGUAGGGAUGGUGUCGCUGUGAAGAGCCGGUGUGACGAGCCUGUGGUCGGGGAAGAAGUGCCUGGACAACAUGACUGUUUUCAACCCGGAAAAUGUGGAGGAAUUUUAUGACAUCGGGGACGAGCUGGGGAGUUUCCCAGCGUGCCUUGGCUUUGGUAGUGGAGGUGAAUGAGGGAGAAGGGUCAGUCCCAUUGCCCUGUCAGUACUCAGGAUUUAUACCUGAGGACAAUCCCACGGUGCUGUGGACUCGUGAUGAUCUGGAUCCAAAGUCUGUCCACAUACGACGAGAAGGAGGAGACGAUCUUAGAGGACAAAACCAGCUUUACAGCGGACGCACAUCAAUGAGGUCUGAUGCUCUGGACUCGUUAGACUUCAGCCUCACUCUGAGAAAACCAACAAAGACUGACAGCGGCAACUACACCUGCUCCAUCAGUGAUUGGAGACAAGAACGGAGACUGAGAAACAUACAGCUGGAGGUCAAAGACCAGCAGGUGGAGGUGGGGGUGGAGGAAGGCUCAGAGUCCGUCCUCCUGCCCUGCAAAACAAAACCUGACCUGCCUGAGGACACAAGAGUGGAGUGGACUCGCUCUGACCUCAUGAUGGUCCGUGUGUAUUCAAACAGAAGCGACCUCCUUAAAAAACAGGACAACCUUUACAGAGAUCGAACAAAGAUGAACAAAGACCUGCUGAGGACUGGAGACCUCAGUCUGACCCUGAAAUACCCCACAGACUGGGACACAGGAGGAUACAUCUGCACCAUCUACAGGGACGAAGACAUCCUGAGGCAGAAAGUCGUGCUGCAGGUCAAAGUUUACAAGGUGGAGGUGGAUUCAGGGGUGGAGUCUGUUCAGCUGAUCUGCAAAACCACAGUUUGUCUGCCUAAAGAUGCUAAAGUGGAGUGGAAGGACAAAAACAACAGGAAGGUCCACGUGUAUGAGAACGGCUCUGACCAGCCUGAAGAACAGGACGAUAAAUACAAGAACCGAACAAAGAUGAAGAGAAACUUACUGGAACCUGGAGACCUCAGUCUGACCCUGAAACACCCCACAGAUGAAGACAACUCCACCUACACCUGCACCGUCUACAGCAGGGAGGGAAACAUCCUGAUGGAGAAACAAGUGGAGCUGAAAGUCAGAGUCCCCCAGGUGGAGGUGGAUUCAGGGGUGGAGUCUGUCCAGCUGCCCUUCAACACCACACUUCACCUGCCUGAAGACGCUAAAGUGGAGUGGAAGGAGAACAGAUACAACAUGAAGGUCCACGUGUAUAAGAACGGCUCUGACCAGCCUGAGGAAAAGGACAUGAAAUACAAAAACCGAAUAAAGAUGAAUGAAGACCUGCUGAAAACUGGAGACCUCAGUCUGACCCUGAAAUACCCCACAGAUGAUGACAACAGGACCUACACCUGCACCGUCUACAGCAGGGAGGGAAACAUCCUGCUGAAGAAACAAGUGGAGCUGAAAGUCAGAGUCUGUCAGGUGGAGGUGGAGGAGGGGGCGGAGUCUGUCCAGCUGCCCUUCAAAACCACACAAAACCUGCCUGAAGAUGUUAGAGUGGAGUGGAAACGUCUUGAACCUGAACCAUCACUGAUGGUCCACGUGUAUAAGAACCGCUCUGACCAGCCUGAAGAACAGCACCAGGUUUACAGAGACCGAACGAAAAUGAAUAAAGACCUGCUGAAAACUGGAGACCUCAGUCUGACCCUGAAACACCCCACAGAGAGAGACAGUGGGAGAUACAGAUGUGCAGUUGACAGCAGGAACAUCUGGAUAAGAUACAAAUCAGUGCAGCUCAAAGUUAAAGGGAGAGUUCAGGUCCAGGAUCAAACAGGGGACAUCAGGAACAGAAGCAGCUCCAUUGAUCCGACUCCUCUGAUGGCUGAUCAAUUAGUUUGAUCUGUGUGUUCUUUGAUUAUUGAUCAGUGGUGUCAGAGUGGAGUCAGUGUGAUGUUGUUGUUGUGUGUUUGAGACUUUUAGUGUCCAUGAAGGUCUCUGCUGCCGUAGAUCCUCUGAACUGUGACAGAGGUCUCACUCUGGAGGAAACUCUCAGCACUUUCCAGCAGCUCCUCCAUCAUGGAGGACGUUCCCUCACUGUAACAGGUGGAGGAGAGAGGAGAGGAAGCACAGGUGGAUCCUCUGAGGAAGAGGAGCGUUCCUACAAACCACAUGAUCACAUGACCAGAGGACAAGCAUGUGUAGAAACACAUUAAAGUCAGCCUGUAAACACGUUUGUGUCAAUUCUAGUCGUGUUUUUCUGUUACAGUCAAAUAAAAGCAGAGAAAGC